rnacentral:rRNA from 1 species
CCUACGGGUGGCAGCAGUGAGGAAUAUUGGUCAAUGGGGGAAACCCUGAACCAGCAACGCCGCGUGAGGGAAGACGGUUUUCGGAUUGUAAACCUCUGUCCUCUGUGAAGAUAAUGACGGUAGCAGAGGAGGAAGCUCCGGCUAACUACGUGCCAGCAGCCGCGGUAAUACGUAGGGAGCAAGCGUUGUCCGGAUUUACUGGGUGUAAAGGGUGCGUAGGCGGCUUUGCAAGUCAGAAGUGAAAUCCAUGGGCUUAACCCAUGAACUGCUUUUGAAACUGCAGAGCUUGAGUGGAGUAGGGGGAGGGCGAAAUCCCGGGUGAGGCGGGAAA